ensembl:lncRNA
CGAAAAGGAAGGUUUUGGAUGAGGAACAGAAGCGUUCAAUUUCCAGUUGUCUCUUAAUUUUAACCCUUCUGUUCCACACUCAAAACCUUCCUUUUCAACUUGUUUGAAAAGGAAAGAACAUUUAAUUUUUUCUGGAUCUGUAUAUAUCAUAAACUCACACAUUCUCCACAUUGCAACAGAAGAACAGCCCAAGAGCAGGCACAGAUCCCUUUAUAAGAAACAAUCCUUAGUUAUUCCUGUGGUUGUUGGAAUCACAGUGGUUAUUCUGGUUCUCAUCCUCUGUCUCUCUGGCUUCAUCUGGUUCAGAAAGAAGGCCCCCAAAUCCGUCUCUGACACAAAAGACAAAUCAGACAAUGAACAGGGAAAUUCCAACCCCACUUAUGGCAACAUCUCCAGCGCUGGCGUGACCUCAGAGAAAAGAGACCAGUCUGAUGACCUUCACUACACCGGCGUUGACAUCCACCGGGCCAAGAUGCAGGACGUCCCUCUGUACAGCAACGCCCAACCCCAGGAACAGGAUGAGGAUGUCCAUUACGCCGCCGUGAAGUUCAACCCUCCCAGCGCUGCCACUCAGUAAGCAUAUUAAACUUACGCUCACAGACUGCUUCUUAUUUGGAGGAGACCAUAACUAAAUGACCCUAUGGACCACUAGUUCCUGGUGGACAUUAAGACAAUUUCUCCC